AGGAUUCCCUAGUAACUGCGAGUGAAGCGGGAAAAGCUCAAAUUUAAAAUCUGGCGGUCUCUGGCUGUCCGAGUUGUAAUCUAGAGAAGUAAUGCCCGUGCUGGACCGUGUAUAAGUCUCCUGGGAUGGGGCGUCAUAGAGGGUGAGAAUCCCGUCUUUGACACGGACUACCAGUGCAUUGUGGUAUGCUCUCAAAGAGUCGAGUUGUUUGGGAAUGCAGCUCAAAAUGGGUGGUAAAUUCCAUCUAAAGCUAAAUAUUGGCGAGAGACCGAUAGCGAACAAGUACCGUGAGGGAAAGAUGAAAAGAACUUUGGAAAGAGAGUUAAACAGUACGUGAAAUUGCUGAAAGGGAAACGCUUGAAGUCAGUCGCGUUGGCCAGGGAUCAGCCUUGCUUUUGCAUGGUGUACUUUCUGGUUGAUGGGUCAGCAUCAAUUUUGACCGCUGGAAAAAGACCUGGGGAAUGUGGCAGCUUCGGCUGUGUUAUAGCCCCUAGUCGCAUACAGUGGUUGGGAUUGAGGAACUCAGCACGCCGCAAGGCCGGGUUUCGACCACGUUCGUGCUUAGGAUGCUGGCAUAAUGGCUUUAAGCGACCCGUCUUGAAACACGGACCAAGGAGUCUAACAUGCCUGCGAGUAUUUGGGUGGAAAACCCAAGUGCGUAAUGAAAGUGAAAGUUGAGAUCCCUGUCGUGGGGAGCAUCGACGCCCGGACCAGAACUUUUGGGACGGAUCCGCGGUGGAGCAUGUAUGUUGGGACCCGAAAGAUGGUGAACUAUGCCUGAAUAGGGUGAAGCCAGAGGAAACUCUGGUGGAGGCUCGUAGCGAUUCUGACGUGCAAAUCGAUCGUCAAAUUUGGGUAUAGGGGCGAAA
rnacentral:rRNA from 2 species